GACGAACGCUGGCGGCGUGCUUAACACAUGCAAGUCGAACGGAAAGGCCCUGCUUUUGUGGGGUGCUCGAGUGGCGAACGGGUGAGUAACACGUGAGUAACCUGCCCUUGACUUUGGGAUAACUUCAGGAAACUGGGGCUAAUACCGGAUAGGAGCUCCUGCUGCAUGGUGGGGGUUGGAAAGUUUCGGCGGUUGGGGAUGGACUCGCGGCUUAUCAGCUUGUUGGUGGGGUAGUGGCUUACCAAGGCUUUGACGGGUAGCCGGCCUGAGAGGGUGACCGGCCACAUGGGGACUGAGAGACGGACCAGACGCCUACGGGAGGCAGCAGGGGGGAAUAUUGCACAAUGGGCGGAAGCCUGAUGCAGCAACGCCGCGUGCGGGAUGACGGCCUUCGGGUUGUAAACCGCUUUCGCCUGUGACGAAGCGUGAGUGACGGUAAUGGGUAAAGAAGCACCGGCUAACUACGUG
rnacentral:rRNA from 1 species